CCCUUAGAUGUUCUGGGCCGCACGCGCGCUACACUGAUCAGUGCAACAAGCAUCCGUCCUUGGCCGACAGGCCCGGGCAAUCUUUGAACGCUGAUCGUGAUGGGGAUAGACUUUUGCAAUUUUUGGUCUUCAACGAGGAAUUCCUAGUAAACGCAAGUCAUCAACUUGCAUUGAUUACGUCCCUGCCCUUUGUACACACCGCUCGUCGCACCUACCGAUUGAAUGGUCCGGUGAAGCCUCCGGAUUGGCGUGCACCCUCGGGUGCUGCCGAGAAGUUGGCUAAACCUUACCAUUUAGAGGAAGGUGAANUCGUANCA
rnacentral:rRNA from 1 species